GCCCAGAUGGCGUAGUGGUUACACGCCAGGUCAUGCUGAGGCCGUGGAAGACUUCUGGUUUGAUUCCGGAGCCGGGCA
rnacentral:tRNA from 1 species